GGGGCUGUAGCUCAGUUGGGAGAGCGCAACGUUCGCAACGUUGAGGCCGCCGGUUCGAUCCCGGCCAGCUCCACCA
rnacentral:tRNA from 1 species